UACGGAGGAUGCGAGCGUUAUCCGGAUUUAUUGGGUUUAAAGGGUGCGUAGGCGGCUUUUUAAGUCAGCGGUGAAAUUUUGCAGCUUAACUGUAACAGUGCCGUUGAUACUGGGGAGCUAGGAUUUGGUUGCUGUGGGUGGAAUGUGUGGUGUAGCGGUGAAAUGCUUAGAGAUCACACAGAAUAUCGAUUGCGAAGGCAGCUCACAAAGCCAAGAUUGACGCUGAGGCACGAAAGUGUGGGGAGCAAACAGGAUUA
rnacentral:rRNA from 1 species